GACGAACGCUGGCGGCGUGCUUAACACAUGCAAGUCGAACGGAAAGGCCCUGCUUUUGUGGGGUGCUCGAGUGGCGAACGGGUGAGUAACACGUGAGUAACCUGCCCUUGACUUUGGGAUAACUUCAGGAAACUGGGGCUAAUACCGGAUAGGAGCUCCUGCUGCAUGGUGGGGGUUGGAAAGUUUCGGCGGUUGGGGAUGGACUCGCGGCUUAUCAGCUUGUUGGUAGGGUAGUGGCUUACCAAGGCAUUGACGGGUAGCCGGCCUGGGAGGGUGAUCGGGCACAUGGGAACGUAGACAGGGACCAGAGGCCUAAGGUAGGCAGCAGUGUGGAAUAUUGGGCAGUGGGGGAAAGCCUGAUCCAGCCAGGGCGCGUGUGUGAAGAAGGGCUUCGGAUCGUAAAGCCCUUUAAGGAGUGAAGAAGGGCAUUAAAUGAAUACGUUGCGGUUGUGACGGUACCGACUAAAUAAGCACCGGCUAACUACGUG
rnacentral:rRNA from 1 species